rnacentral:rRNA from 1 species
UACGAGGGGGGCAAGCGUUGUUCGGAAUUAUUGGGCGUAAAGGGUGCGUAGGCGGUCUGACAAGUCUGAUGUGAAAUCUAUGGGCUCAACCCAUAGUCUGCAUCGGAAACUGUCGGGCUGGAGUGUGGGAGAGGUGAGUGGAAUUUCCGGUGUAGCGGUGAAAUGCGCAGAUAUCAGGAGGAACACCGAUGGCGAAGGCAGGUCUCUGGGCAUUAACUGACGCUGAGGAGCGAAAGCAUGGGGAGCGAACAGG